rnacentral:rRNA from 1 species
CCCUUAGAUGUCUUGGGCGGCACGCGCGCUACAAUGAUCAGUUCAACGAGUAUUGCACCUUCUGCGGAAGCAGUGGGUAAUCUUUUCAAAGCUGAUCGUGUUGGGGAUAGAUCUUUGCAAUUUUGGAUCUUCAACGAGGAAUUCUUAGUAAGUGCAAUUCAUCAUAUUGCGUUGACUUCGUCCCUGCCCUUUGUACACACCGCCCGUCGCUCCAACCGAUGUAGGAUCCGGUGAAAUCUCGGGAUGGCGGACCAAUCUGCAUGGGCAACUGUGUGGAUAGUCUGCCAGAACCUGCUUGAACCUUAUCUUGUAGAGGAUGGAGAANUCGUAACA